GCAUUAAUGGGGUAGUGGUAACCUGGGUCGUUGCCAUGAGAGGUAUUUAUCUCGACCCGCCGGGAGUUCGAUUCUCUCUUAAUGCA